CAGUCGCCGCGGUAAUACGUAGGUGGCAAGCGUUGUCCGGAAUUAUUGGGCGUAAAGGGCUCGCAGGCGGUUUCUUGGGUCUGAUGUGAAAGCCCCCGGCUCAACCGGGGAGGGUCAUUGGAAACUGGGAAACUUGAGUGCAGAAGAGGAGAGUGGAGUUCCACGUGUAGCGGUGAAAUGCGUAGAGAUGUGGAGGAACACCAGUGGCGAAGGCGACUCUCUGGUCUGUAACUGACGCUGAGGAGCGAAAGCGUGGGGAGCGAACAGGAUUAGAUACCCCUGUAGUCCCUGUCUCUUAUAC
rnacentral:rRNA from 1 species